rnacentral:rRNA from 1 species
UGGGAAUUUUGGACAAUGGGCGAAAGCCUGAUCCAGCCAUGCCGCGUGCAGGAUGAAGGCCUUCGGGUUGUAAACUGCUUUUGUACGGAACGAAAGCCUCUUUCUAAUAAAGNGGGGUCAUGACGGUACCGUAAGAAUAAGCACCGGCUAACUACGUGCCAGCAGCCGCGGUAAUACGUAGGGUGCAAGCGUUAAUCGGAAUUACUGGGCGUAAAGCGUGCGCAGGCGGUUUUGUAAGACAGAGGUGAAAUCCCCGGGCUCAACCUGGGAACUCCUUUGUGACUGCAAGGCUGGAUGUGCGGCAGAGGGGAUGGAAUUCCGCGUGUAGCAGUGAAAUGCGUAGUAUGCGGAGGAACACCGAUGGCGAAGGCAAUCCCCUGGGCCUGCACUGACGCUCAUGCACGAAAGCGUGGGGAGCAAACAGGAUUAGAUACCCUGGUAGUCCACGCCCUAAACGAUGUCAACUGGUUGUUGGGUCUUCACUGACUCAGUAACGAAGCUAACGCGUGAAGUUGACCGCCUGGGGAGUACGCCGCAAGGUUGAAACUCAAAGGAAUUGACGGGGUCAUAGCUGUUUCCU